rnacentral:rRNA from 1 species
GACAGAGGGUGCAAACGUUUGUUCGGAAUUACUGGGCGUAAAGCGUGCGCAGGCGGUUAUGUAAGACAGGUGUGAAAUCCCCGGGCUUAACCUGGGAACUGCAUUUGUGACUGCAUAGCUAGAGUACGGUAGAGGGGGAUGGAAUUCCGCGUGUAGCAGUGAAAUGCGUAGAUAUGCGGAGGAACACCGAUGGCGAAGGCAAUCCCCUGGACCUGUACUGACGCUCAUGCACGAAAGCGUGGGGAGCAAACAGG